CAUAAAUGUAAUAUUUGCGAGAAACAUUAUGGGCACAAAUUUAGGUUAGACCAGCACAUGCUGAGCCACACAAAAGAAAAACCUCACAGCUGCGACAUUUGUGGAGAAAAAUUCCGAUUUAAAGGUAACAUUAAGAGACAUAAAGCAACCUGUCAUUAUAGUAAUGAAUUUAGCCAUAAAACUGUUGAGUCUUUGUAAAUUGUUUAUAAGAAAUAUACAUAUAAGUUUUUUUUACAUGAAUAUAUUCUAUUAUACUGUUUUUAUUUUUUUUUUAAUUAUCACUCUGUAUUAGAGAUGAGACGAAUAUUCGAAAUACUCUGGAUGAGAAUUAAGCCAUUUCAUGCCAGUUAUAGUUUGUUAUGAAUAAAUAAAUAUGUUAAAAACCA